UACGUAGGGUGCAAGCGUUAAUCGGAAUUACUGGGCGUAAAGCGUGCGCAGGCGGUUUUGUAAGUCUGUCGUGAAAUCCCCGGGCUCAACCUGGGAAUGGCGAUGAAGACUGCAAGGCUAGAAUCUGGCAGAGGGGGGGUAGAAUUCCACGUGUAGCAGUGAAAAUGCGUAGAGAUGUGGAGGAACACCGAUGGCGAAGGCAGCCCCCCUGGGUCAAGAUUGAC
rnacentral:rRNA from 1 species